AACCUCGCACCUCAGAUCUCAGCCUCCCGAGUAAUUGGGAUGCUGGGCAGGAGCCCUGGCUCCCGGCAAGCUCCUGGCUUUCACACCAAGUGUCCCCCCGGCCCCCAGGGAGGUUGUGGGAGAGCAGGACAGUGGGUCCUCUUGGCGCCCAGGUCUGACUGGACACCCACAGGGAAUUUCUAGAAGCCAGUGAGUGACCUCUGCCCCAGUGGCAGCAGAGACUGAGGAAAGGGAACCUGCUAGAAGCUCCCCCUCCCACUGCGGAAAGGGGGUCCCCUUGUAUGCUCAUCCCGUGUCAGGUGAGAUGCCAUUUUAGGGACCCCACCCCCGCCUCACGGACUAACAUUUGUAUCUCCUCACUUGCCUUCCGGUUUUAGCAGGGUUUGCCUGCCGUUCUAGAGUCUUCCCUUGCUGAUUUUUUAAAAAUCUUAUUUAUUUUUGAGACAAGAGUCUAGCUGCAGAGCCCAGGCUGGCCUUGAGCUCGUGAUCCUCCGACCUUUUCCCCUCCAGUGCUGGACCUACAGCAUGACACCAGAGCCGGGCUUGGCGUAACCCUAACCUGAGUCAUGUGCGCUGUCCCUGAGGUGGCCUGGGGGGACAUCAUGUCUUACUCAUCACCAGCAAAGGAAAAAAAAUGAUGCUUCCUGACCCCGACUCUUCUCAUUCUUUUGGGGUUCCAGGGAGAAAGCAUCUACUCUGCCAUCUUGCUGCCCCCCCCCCACCUCUGGUCAGUUCUCCAAAUAAAGGUGGUUAGA